rnacentral:rRNA from 1 species
UACGUAGGGGGCAAGCGUUGUCCGGAAUCAUUGGGCGUAAAGAGCGUGUAGGCGGCCCCAUAAGUCCGCUGUGAAAGUCAAAGGCUCAACCUUUGAAAGCCGGUGGAUACUGUGGGACUAGAGUACGGAAGAGGCGAGUGGAAUUCCUGGUGUAGCGGUGGAAUGCGCAGAUAUCAGGAGGAACACCAAUAGCGAAGGCAGCUCGCUGGGACGUUACUGACACUGAGGCGCGAAGGCGUGGGGAGCGAACAGG